UACGUAGGCAGCAAGCGUUGUUCGGAGUUACUGGGCGUAAAGGGUGCGUAGGCGGUUGUUUAAGUUUGGUGUGAAAUCUCCCGGCUCAACUGGGAGGGUGCGCCGAAUACUGAAUGACUAGAGUGCGGGAGAGGAGAGUGGAAUUCCGUGGUGUAAGCGGUGAAUGCGUAGAUAUCAGGAGGAACACCGGUGGUGUAGACGGCUCGUCUGGACCGUAACUGACGCUGAGGCACGAAAGCGUGGGUAGCAAACAGG
rnacentral:rRNA from 1 species